rnacentral:misc_RNA from 1 species
GCUAAAUGUUGAGGUUCGUGAUGGUAGCCAAUUGACGUGUUUCUUAGGCCUGUAUCUGCAUCACAGACAACGCGGUGAGGUUCACGACACAGAAUCCUCUCUCGCCUGUCCUGCUCAAGAAGUUGAAGUAAAGAGUGACGCAGCUUAGAGACGUUAGAUUCUGAUUAUUGAAAACCUAAUAAUUGAAAGAACAUUAGGGAUUGAAAACGUGAAAUCGUUAAGUUUUCAGCGAAAAUUUUCAAAGAUGGCAGAGGAAUCUCCAAGGUCCAUAAGGUUAAUGAAUUUCAUUUCGGAGGAACUGGUAUUCCCAAUUAAUUGACCCUAAACCCUGAUUCUCUUUGGUUAAUUUGUCCUUUUUUUCAAAAUUUGUUAUGUUUUGGUCCAAAUCCUAAUUUAUAUUAUCUGGUGUUACAGUUAGAUCAGGCUAAGAAAGC